rnacentral:tRNA from 1 species
GGGGGCGUAGUUCAGUUGGUAGAACGCCUGCUUUGCAAGCAGGAGGUAGUGGGAUCGAAACCUGCCGCCUCCA